CAGCAGUAGCCGCGGUAAUACGUAGGGUGCAAGCGUUAAUCGGAAUUACUGGGCGUAAAGCGUGCGCAGGCGGUUCGCUAAGACAGAUGUGAAAUCCCCGGGCUUAACCUGGGAACUGCAUUUGUGACUGGCGGGCUAGAGUAUGGCAGAGGGGGGUAGAAUUCCACGUGUAGCAGUGAAAUGCGUAGAGAUGUGGAGGAAUACCGAUGGCGAAGGCAGCCCCCUGGGCCAAUACUGACGCUCAUGCACGAAAGCGUGGGGAGCAAACAGGAUUAGAUACCCGAGUAGUCCCUGUCUCUUAUAC
rnacentral:rRNA from 1 species